ensembl:snRNA U6 U6 spliceosomal RNA
CUUGCUCUGCAACUUAUACUAAAGUGGAAGUGACACAGAGGUUAGCAUGGCCAGUCCACUAAGAUAAUAUGCAAAUUUCUGAAGUGUUCCAUACUUUU